rnacentral:rRNA from 1 species
GACGAACGCUGGCGGCGUGCCUAAUACAUGCAAGUAGAACGCACAGUUUAUACCGUAGCUUGCUACACCAUAGACUGUGAGUUGCGAACGGGUGAGUAACGCGUAGGUAACCUGCCUGGUAGCGGGGGAUAACUAUUGGAAACGAUAGCUAAUACCGCAUAAUAUUAAUUAUUGCAUGAUAAUUAAUUGAAAGGUGCAAUUGCACCACUACCAGAUGGACCUGCGUUGUAUUAGCUAGUAGGUGAGGUAACGGCUCACCUAGGCGACGAUACAUAGCCGACCUGAGAGGGUGAUCGGCCACACUGGGACUGAGACCCCGCCCAGACUCCUACGCGCUGCAGCAGUAGGGAAUCGUUGGCAAUGGACGAAAGUCUGACCGAGCAACGCCGCGUGAGUGAAGAAGGUUUUCGGAUCGUAAAGCUCUGUUGUAAGAGAAGAACGGGUGUGAGAGUGGAAAGUUCACACUGUGACGGUAUCUUACCAGAAAGGGACGGCUAACUACGUG